rnacentral:rRNA from 1 species
UACGGAGGAUGCGAGCGUUAUCCGGAUUUAUUGGGUUUAAAGGGUGCGUAGGCGGGCAUUUAAGCCGGCGGUCAAAUGUCGGGGCUCAACCCCGGCCUGCCGUCGGAACUGGGUGCCUUGAGUGGGCGAGAAGUAUGCGGAAUGCGUGGUGUAGCGGUAAAAUGCGUAGAUAUAUGGAAGAACACCAGUGGCGAAGGCGGCCGCCUGGCCUGUUACUGACGCUGAGGCACGAAAGCGUGGGGAGCAAAUAGG